AGAGUUUGAUCAUGGCUCAGAUUGAACGCUGGCGGCAGGCCUAACACAUGCAAGUCGAGCGGUAGCACAGAGAGCUUGCUCUCGGGUGACGAGCGGCGGACGGGUGAGUAAUGUCUGGGAAACUGCCUGAUGGAGGGGGAUAACUACUGGAAACGGUAGCUAAUACCGCAUAAUGUCGCAAGACCAAAGUGGGGGACCUUCGGGCCUCAUGCCAUCAGAUGUGCCCAGAUGGGAUUAGCUAGUAGGUGGGGUAAUGGCUCACCUAGGCGACGAUCCCUAGCUGGUCUGAGAGGAUGACCAGCCACACUGGAACUGAGACACGGUCCAGACUCCUACGGGAGGCAGCAGUGGGGAAUAUUGCACAAUGGGCGCAAGCCUGAUGCAGCCAUGCCGCGUGUGUGAAGAAGGCCUUCGGGUUGUAAAGCACUUUCAGCGGGGAGGAAGGCGGUGAGGUUAAUAACCUCAUCGAUUGACGUUACCCGCAGAAGAAGCACCGGCUAACUCCGUGCCAGCAGCCGCGGUAAUACGGAGGGUGCAAGCGUUAAUCGGAAUUACUGGGCGUAAAGCGCACGCAGGCGGUCUGUCAAGUCGGAUGUGAAAUCCCCGGGCUCAACCUGGGAACUGCAUUCGAAACUGGCAGGCUAGAGUCUUGUAGAGGGGGGUAGAAUUCCAGGUGUAGCGGUGAAAUGCGUAGAGAUCUGGAGGAAUACCGGUGGCGAAGGCGGCCCCCUGGACAAAGACUGACGCUCAGGUGCGAAAGCGUGGGGAGCAAACAGGAUUAGAUACCCUGGUAGUCCACGCCGUAAACGAUGUCGAUUUGGAGGUUGUGCCCUUGAGGCGUGGCUUCCGGAGCUAACGCGUUAAAUCGACCGCCUGGGGAGUACGGCCGCAAGGUUAAAACUCAAAUGAAUUGACGGGGGCCCGCACAAGCGGUGGAGCAUGUGGUUUAAUUCGAUGCAACGCGAAGAACCUUACCUGGUCUUGACAUCCACAGAACUUUCCAGAGAUGGAUUGGUGCCUUCGGGAACUGUGAGACAGGUGCUGCAUGGCUGUCGUCAGCUCGUGUUGUGAAAUGUUGGGUUAAGUCCCGCAACGAGCGCAACCCUUAUCCUUUGUUGCCAGCGGUUAGGCCGGGAACUCAAAGGAGACUGCCAGUGAUAAACUGGAGGAAGGUGGGGAUGACGUCAAGUCAUCAUGGCCCUUACGACCAGGGCUACACACGUGCUACAAUGGCAUAUACAAAGAGAAGCGACCUCGCGAGAGCAAGCGGACCUCAUAAAGUAUGUCGUAGUCCGGAUUGGAGUCUGCAACUCGACUCCAUGAAGUCGGAAUCGCUAGUAAUCGUAGAUCAGAAUGCUACGGUGAAUACGUUCCCGGGCCUUGUACACACCGCCCGUCACACCAUGGGAGUGGGUUGCAAAAGAAGUAGGUAGCUUAACCUUCGGGAGGGCGCUUACCACUUUGUGAUUCAUGACUGGGGUGAAGUCGUAACAAGGUAACCGUAGGGGAACCUGCGGUUGGAUCACCU
rnacentral:rRNA from 2 species